rnacentral:rRNA from 1 species
UACGUAGGCAGCGAGCGUUGUUCGGAAUUACUGGGCGUAAAGAGUGUGUAGGCGGUGCUCUAAGUUCGGUGUGAAAUCUCCCGCUUAACUGGGAGGGUGCGCCGGAAACUGGAGUGCUCGAGCGUGGGAGAGGAAAGCGGAGUUCCUGGUGUAGCGGUGAAAUGCGUAGAUAUCAGGAGGAACACCAAUAGCGAAGGCAGCUCGCUGGGACGUUACUGACACUGAGGCGCGAAAGCGUGGGGAGCGAAACAGG